GCGGAUGUGGCGAAAGUGGUAGACGCGUUAGAUUUAGGAUCUAAUAAACUUAAGAGUUCAAGUCCUUCUUUUGCU
rnacentral:tRNA from 1 species